CAUAUUUACAUGCUUUCAUCUUUAGUAUCAUUUCUGAAUUGAUUCCUUCUGCUCUACAUAUAUUGCUGCUUCUGUUAUAUCUUCUGAGAGCAACCGGUGUUGCAGAAUUGAAGUGUGCCUGUGGUGAUGAAGAUGACUUAUAUGCAUCAGAAUUAAUUCGCAUAUAACUUGAUUCUUCAGCCAUGUCACCUGAAUACGGGAUACUAUUUUCUUGGUUUUGAUGAGUUUCAUAAACCAUAAAUCACAUCUCCGAGUUUCCUUCAUGGCCACAGAAAAUCUCAGCUUCAGCAGGUAAUUAUUAUGUUUAGGGCCACAAUAAUCUGAGUGAGAAACCCAACACCACAGAUAUUCGAAAGGAUAAGGUUGGCAUUUAUUUGGAGGAAAUUAGAUCAAACAUGUCAUCUUUAUGGAGGGCAAUACCCCUUCGCAUCAUUAUCACGCUCCUCCUUCUUGCCGGGGUACUGAUAGCAAUGGCUUUACGUCAUGAACGGAACCUACUCAUUAUCAUCGAAAGCCUGCUGG